rnacentral:rRNA from 1 species
AUUGAACGCUGGCGGCAGGCUUAACACAUGCAAGUCGAGCGAGCGGCGGACGGGUGAGUAAUGUAUGGGACACUGCCUGAUAGAGGGGGAUAACUACUGGAAACGGUGGCUAAUACCGCAUACUAUCGGAUGAACCCAUAUGGGAUUAGCUAGUAGGUGGGGUAAUGGAUCACCUAGGCGACGAUCCCUAGCUGGUCUGAGAGGAUGAUCAGCCACGAUGGGACUGAGACACGGACCAGACUCCUACGGUAGGCAGCAGUGGGGAAUAGUGCACAAUGGGCGCAGUCCUGAUGCAGAAAUGCCGCGGGUAUGAAGAAGGCCUUAGGGUUGUAAAGUACUUUCAGCGGGGAGGCGUUGCCAGCAGAAGAAGCACCGGCUAACGCCGUGCCAGCAGCCGCGGUAAUAC